AUACGUAGGGUGCGAGCGUUGUCCGGAAUUACUGGGCGUAAAGAGCUCGUAGGUGGUUUGUCGCGUCGUCUGUGAAAUUCCGGGGCUUAACUCCGGGCGUGCAGGCGAUACGGGCAUAACUUGAGUACUGUAGGGGAGACUGGAAUUCCUGGUGUAGCGGUGAAAUGCGCAGAUAUCAGGAGGAACACCGGUGGCGAAGGCGGGUCUCUGGGCAGUAACUGGCGCUGAGGAGCGAAAGCAUGGGUAGCGAACAGGAUUAGAUACCCUGGUAGUCCAUGCCGUAAACGGUGGGCGCUAGGUGUUGGGGUCUUCCACGACUUCUGUGCCGUAGCUAACGCAUUAAGCGCCCCGCCUGGGGAGUACGGCCGCAAGGCUAAAACUCAAAGGAAUUGACGGGG
rnacentral:rRNA from 1 species